UACGAAGGGUGCAAACGUUGCUCGGAAUUAUUGGGCGUAAAGCGCACGUAGGCGGCUUUGCAAGUCGGAUGUGAAAUCCCUCGGCUUAACCAAGGAAGUGCAUCCGAAACUGCAGAGCUUGAGUACUUAAGAGGAUCGCGGAAUUCCCGGUGUAGAGGUGAAAUUCGUAGAUAUCGGGAGGAACACCAGUGGCGAAGGCGGCUCGCUGGACCGGUUCUGACGCUGAUGCGCGAAAGCGUGGGGAGCAAACGGG
rnacentral:rRNA from 1 species